rnacentral:rRNA from 1 species
CCUACGGGUGGCAGCAGUGAGGAAUAUUGGUCAAUGAGCGCUAGCCUGAACCAGCGACGUAGCGUGCAGGAUGACUGCCCUCUGGGUUGUAAGCUUCUUUUUUAUGGGAGUAAAUUUCAGUAUGUAUACUGCUUUACAUGUACCUUAUGAAUAAGGAUCGGCUAACUUCGUUCCAGCAGCCGCGGUAAUACGGAGGAUAGGACCGUUAUCCGGAUUUAUUGGGUUUAAAGGGUGCGUAGGCGGUUUGUUAAGUUAGGGGUUAAACGUCGGGGCUUAACCUUGACUUGCCUUUAAUACUAUAAGACUAGAGUUCAGACGAGGUAGGCGGAAUAAGAUAAGUAGCGGUGAAAUGCUUAGAUAUAACGAAGAACACCGAUAGCGAAGGCAGCUUACCAGACUGCGACUGACGCUGAGGGACGAGAGCGUGGGUAGCGAACAGGAUUAGAUACCCCUGUAGUC